ACGGUGCUGAAGUGACAAAUGCCCUGCUUCCAGGAAAAGCCUCUAAGCAUCAGGUAACAUCAAAUCGUACCCCAAACCGACACAGGUGGUCAGGUAGAGAAUACCAAGGCGCUUGAGAGAACUCGGGUGAAGGAACUAGGCAAAAUGGUGCCGUAACUUCGGGAGAAGGCACGCUGACAUGUAGGUGAAGCCCCUGCGGGUGGAGCUGAAGUCAGUCGAAGAUACCAGCUGGCUGCAACUGUUUAUUAAAAACACAGCACUGUGCAAACACGAAAGUGGACGUAUACGGUGUGACGCCUGCCCGGUGCCGGAAGGUUAAUUGAUGGGGUUAUCGCAAGAGAAGCUCCUGAUCGAAGCCCCGGUAAACGGCGGCCGUAACUAUAACGGUCCUAAGGUAGCGAAAUUCCUUGUCGGGUAAGUUCCGACCUGCACGAAUGGCGUAAUGAUGGCCAGGCUGUCUCCACCCGAGACUCAGUGAAAUUGAACUCGCUGUGAAGAUGCAGUGUACCCGCGGCAAGACGGAAAGACCCCGUGAACCUUUACUACAGCUUGACACUGAACAUUGAGCCUUGAUGUGUAGGAUAGGUGGGAGGCUUUGAAGCGUGGACGCCAGUCUGCGUGGAGCCGACCUUGAAAUACCACCCUUUAAUGUUUGAUGUUCUAACCUGGCGCCGUGAUCCGGCGUGGGGACAGUGUCUGGUGGGUAGUUUGACUGGGGCGGUCUCCUCCCAAAGUGUAACGGAGGAGCACGAAGGUCAGCUAAUCCUGGUCGGACAUCAGGAGGUUAGUGCAAUGGCAUAAGCUGGCUUGACUGCGAGAGUGACGGCUCGAGCAGGUGCGAAAGCAGGUCAUAGUGAUCCGGUGGUUCUGUAUGGAAGGGCCAUCGCUCAACGGAUAAAAGGUACUCCGGGGAUAACAGGCUGAUACCGCCCAAGAGUUCAUAUCGACGGCGGUGUUUGGCACCUCGAUGUCGGCUCAUCACAUCCUGGGGCUGAAGUAGGUCCCAAGGGUAUGGCUGUUCGCCAUUUAAAGUGGUACGCGAGCUGGGUUUAGAACGUCGUGAGACAGUUCGGUCCCUAUCUGCCGUGGGCGCUGGAGAAUUGAGGGGGGCUGCUCCCAGUACGAGAGGACCGGAGUGGACGCAUCACUGGUGUUCGGGUUGUCAUGCCAAUGGCACUGCCCGGUAGCUAAAUGCGGAAGAGAUAAGUGCUGAAAGCAUCUAAGCACGAAACUUGCCCCGAGAUGAGUUCUCCCUGA
rnacentral:rRNA from 1 species